AGCAGUAGCCGCGGGAAUACGUAGGGUGCAAGUGUUAAUCGGAAUUACUGGGCGUAAAGCGUGCGCAGGCGGUGUUGUAAGACUGAUGUGAAAUCCCCGGGCUCAACCUGGGAACUGCAUUGGUGACUGCAACGCUGGAGUGCGGCAGAGGGGGAUGGAAUUCCGCGUGUAGCAGUGAAAUGCGUAGAUAUGCGGAGGAACACCGAUGGCGAAGGCAAUCCCCUGGGCCUGCACUGACGCUCAUGCACGAAAGCGUGGGGAGCAAACAGGAUUAGAUACCCCCGUAGUCCCUGUCUCUUAUAC
rnacentral:rRNA from 1 species